CUUCAUCCACACAUACAUCACUCGAUGGUUGAUCAUUUUCUUACCAAAAUUUCAGAUCAUUUGCAACUGAAUAUGCAACUGGAUGGUCUCCACCCGCUCCAACAGCAAGACAUGGUCUUCUCAGCCACAAUUCCACAUGAAACGAUGUCCACCUUAAUAGAACGCAUUGUGGAAUCAUCAAUGUGUUCUUCAGGUGUCAUCAUUAACACCUUUAGCGAGCUGGAAGAUGCUGAGCUACAAAAGAUCAUCGAUGGCAUGGGCGUCCCGGUGUAUGCAAUCGGUCCACUUCACAAGAUAUCUUUAGGUGCCCAGAGCAGCCUGAUGGCUCAAGAUAGAACAUGUUUGGAUUGGUUGGACAAGCAAGAAGUAGGAUCUGUUCUGUUCGUGAGCUUCGGGAGCUUGGCAUCCAUGGAUCAGGAAGAGCUAGUGGAGACUGCAUGGGGCUUGGCCAACAGUCACAUGCCAUUUCUUUGGGUGAUCCGGCCUGACUCGGUUCAAGGUUUAGGGAAUAUAGGCCUACCCGUCGGCUUUGAGGAAGAGGCACGAGGUAGGGGAAUGGUGGUGAGCUGGGCCCCACAACAAGAAGUUCUUGGGCACCAGGCGGUUGGUGGAUUUUGGACCCAUAAUGGCUGGAACUCAACGUUGGAGAGCAUAAGUGAGGGUGUUCCAAUGAUAUGUAGACCACAUUUCGGCGACCAGAUGAUAAAUUCCAGGUAUGUCCAGGAGGUGUGGAAGAUAGGGUUUGUGUUAGAGGGCAAGAUGGACAGGGACAAUAUCCAGAGGAGUGUUAAAAAGUUGUUUUGCCACGAAGAAGGUGGAGAGAUGAGGCGAAGGGCAAAUAAUCUCAAAGACAAAGCAACCCAGUGCAUUCAGAAAGGAGGCUCUUCACAAAUAGGAAUUGAUUUGUUGGUGAAUUGCAUAAUGGCAUUACCUUCUUCCAUUUAG
rnacentral:rRNA from 1 species